rfam:Stomoxys calcitrans breed 8C7A2A5H3J4 unplaced genomic scaffold Scaffold1558, whole genome shotgun sequence.
AAGACUAUAAUUCACAGGAUCAUUUCUGUAGUCAGUCUUCAAUUACUUUCAUUGCAAAAUGAAAAAUCACUAAGUUAAGAUCCCCGAUCGGUUUAUAUGGUAGCUAUAUCAACACGUGGA